CAGCAGCCGCGGUAAUACGUAGGUGGCAAGCGUUGUCCGGAAUUAUUGGGCGUAAAGGGCUCGCAGGCGGUUUCUUAAGUCUGAUGUGAAAGCCCCCGGCUCAACCGGGGAGGGUCAUUGGAAACUGGGAAACUUGAGUGCAGAAGAGGAGAGUGGAAUUCCACGUGUGGCGGUGAAAUGCGUAGAGAUGUGGAGGAACACCAGUGGCGAAGGCGACUCUCUGGUCUGUAACUGACGCUGAGGAGCGAAAGCGUGGGGAGCGAACAGGAUUAGAUACCCCCGUAGUCCCUGUCUCUUAUAC
rnacentral:rRNA from 1 species